rfam:Otolemur garnettii contig046504, whole genome shotgun sequence.
GGCAGCCAGACAGUUUUGCUUGGACCUCUGGGGUGACCACGUGGCCAUACGUUCAAUGCUCUGAAAGGCCUGUGCCCAGAGUCAGCCGGAAAGUGACUUACAGCUGAAAACAGGAUUUGAGUGACUUCUGCUCCAGGGAGGCCCCUCAGUAUAAACAGUGAGAUUUCUGGGAAAUGUGCAACAAGGCCAGACUGUUGAGAAAGG